rnacentral:rRNA from 1 species
AGGGUACCCGGAGAAAAAGCAUCGGCUAACUCCGUGCCAGCAGCCGCGGUAAUACGGAGGAUGCGAGCGUUAUCCGGAUUUAUUGGGUUUAAAGGGUGCGUAGGCGGGAUGCCAAGUCAGCGGUCAAAUACGGGGGCUCAACCUGCGUCCGCCGUUGAAACUGGGGGCCUUGAGUGGGCGAGAAGAAGGCGGAAUGCGUGGUGUAGCGGUGAAAUGCAUAGAUAUCACGCAGAACCCCGAUUGCGAAGGCAGCCUUCCGGCGCCCUACUGACGCUGAGGCACGAAAGUGCGGGGAUCGAACAG